GAACUGCCCACACGGAUGAGGACGAAGAGGAGGAUGUUGUGAGGGAAGGUAGGAGCGGGUUGAGCAAGGAGGUGGACAAGCUAUAUGCAUCCUCUUUUUUUAUUUUUUAUCCAUGGCGCGAAGGUUGGCUCUUACGUUCUUUAUGUAUUUUAACGUUACACGGCGCUGCGAGAGGAAGAGACCGACUACUCCCCUCUCUCUCUGACCGAGAAGGGCAUCUCCUAGGCGGGCCGUCAUUACCAGCAGCGGUCGCAGCAGCUGGCGUCUCAACGGCGCAGUGAAGCUAGCAGGCUAAUGUCAGCAGGUCUUCUGGAAUCCUAAAAAACGAUGAUAGAAACACAGCACUUUCACAACCUGACUGAAAUCCACCGUUGAAUCACUCGUGGCCAUUCAUCACGGAUGUCGUGAAAUACACGACGUGUUCGAUUCAACAUGGAGAAAAAGAAAAUGUGCCCACGACUCCUGGACUACUUGGUAGUGGUCGGUGCAAGGCAGCCGAGUAGUGAUAGUGUGGCCCAGACACCUCAGCUCCUCCGCCGAUACCCACUGGAGGACCACCGGGACUUUCCACUCCCACCAGAUGUGGUGUUCUUUUGCCAACCGGAAGGAUGUCUGAGUAUACGCCAGCGAAGGGUUAGCCUUCGCGACGACUCCUCAUUUGUUUUCACGCUGACCGACAAAGACUCAGGAAUUACUCGCUACGGAAUCUGCGUCAACUUCUACCGAUCAUUUCAGCGCGGGCAUCACCGUGCCCGUGCGGACAAGAGCGGUCACACAGAGACAGCAACGCGAGGGGGGGACUCUAUGAGCGAGGGGUCCGAUGGUAGCAGUGGAGGCCAGUCUUCUGUGUUGUCAGCGCCCAAGAAAGAUGAGUCAGCUCCUCAGCCUGCUUCUGGUGAUGACGUUGAACAGCAAAGUACUGAACUAAAUACUGAAAAAGCUGGCCAGCUCAAACAAAAUGCAGAUAAAAUGGCUGCCAGGAAUCGCAACAGUACACUGACGUCACUAUGCAUACUCAGCCACUACCCAUUCUUCUCCACCUUCAGGGAAUGUCUAAGUAUUCUCAAGAGAAUGGUGGACUGCUGUAGUCAGAGGUUAACACAGCGUGCUGGACUGCCCCACACUUUCCAAAGGGACACCAUGUGGCGCGUAUUCACUGGGGCGCUUUCAGUGGAAGAGAAGGGUAGCCAGCUGUUGGCUGACCUGCGGGACAUUGAAUCCUGGAUAUACAGGUUGCAACGGUCCCCAGUCCCUGUGGCAGGUCAAAGACGUGUGGAUGUGGAAGUUCUGCCCCAUGAAAUGAAACGGCCUCUCACCUUUGCCCUACCUGACAACUCCCGCUUCUCGAUGGUUGAUUUCCCUUUGCAUUUGCCUUUGGAGUUGCUAGGUGUGGAUGCCUGUCUACAGGUGCUUGCCUGUGUCCUGCUCGAGCACAAGGUUAUUCUCCAGUCUCGAGAUUACAAUGCUCUAUCCAUGAGUGUAAUGGCAUUUGUGGCCAUGAUCUACCCUUUGGAGUACAUGUUCCCUGUCAUCCCCCUAUUGCCAACAUGCAUGACCUCUGCUGAACAGCUCCUUCUUGCCCCUACUCCCUAUAUUAUUGGUGUACCAGCUAGUUUCUUCCUUUACAAAGCCGACUUCAAAAUUCCAGAUGAUGUAUGGCUUGUAGAUCUGGACAGCAGCAAAGUUACAGCACCUACAAACGCGGAGAGUCUGCCAUAUCUUCCAGAGCCAGAAGCUGGCGAGCUUAAGAAACAUCUGAAGCAGUGUCUGCUUAGGUUGACUGUGAUCACCCAAAAGCAGAUCUUCUCCUGUGAAAAUAAGGCCUUGGCGAGUAUGAGUUUAAACACCCAGCCCAUUUUGAACUUGGAGAAGUUUCAGGAAGGUCAUGAAAUGCCUCUGCUUCCUCCUGGACGUGAUAAAGCCUCUCCAUCAUCCACGGAGUUCAACCCCCUCAUUUACGGCAAUGAUGUUGAUUCUGUGGAUGUAGCCACCAGGGUGGCGAUGGUACGGUUCUUCAACUCCCAAAAUGUUCUCCAUGGUUUUCAAAUGCACACAAGGACUUUGCGCCUCUUCCCACGCCCCGUGGUGGCUUUCCAGUCAUCGUAUUUUCUUGCGUCUCGACCGAGGCGCUCAAGUUUUGCCGAUAAGCUUUCCCACACACAAGCCGUGGAGUUUUAUGGAGAGUGGGCUCUCAAUCCGACUAACCUCGCAUUUCACAGGAUACAUAAUAAUGUGUUUGACCCGUCUUUAAUCGGCGACAAACCCAAGUGGUAUGCUCACCAGCUUCAACCAGUGGUUUAUAGAGUGUUUGAUGGAAACUCGCAGCUGGUUGAGGCUAUGGCAAGUCCAUUUGAGGAUGAGAGCAAUGACUCUGAUCCUACAGACAGCGGUAGUGACAGUGAGGCAUAUGAUGACUCAAGUUCAUCCUAUUCCUCACUUGGAGACCUUGUAAGUGAGAUGAUACAAGGAGAUAUUCAGGGUGACACACCAAACUCUUCAGGCCUAGAACCACACACCCAUGCUGCUCUGGGAGACGCAAGUGAGGUGGAGUUUCAAGACUUUCGGGACUUCAGAGACGGACAUGGCCCAGGGAGUUCAUCGAGCGGGGACGGUCCUGCAGAACAUUCAGAUGGACAGCCCCAUCGCUCAAGCUCCAGCACAACUGCAAGCUCCAGUCCCAGCACUAUCAUCCAGGGAGUUAACAAUGACCAAGGGGAAGCACCUGAUAGUGAGGCACCAGCCGCCUCCGCCCCACAGAACCCUGUCCCAGGAGUUGGUAGCCAGCCAUUUUUGAGACCUACAGCUGACGCUAGCCUGGGGGACUCGGCAAUACGAAAACGAGAGUAUGACAACCCCUAUUUUGAGCCUCAGUAUGGCUUCCCCUCUGAAGAUGAUCCUGAUGCAGAAGAACAAGUGGAGUCAUACACCCCUCGAUUCAACCAGAACCUCAAUGGCAACAAGGCUCAGCGUCCUUCACGUCCCAGUAGUCUGAGACUUCCUGGGGAGUCAGACGGAGAGGGAGAUUCUCAUAACAGCUCACCAAACUCAACUAUUUCCAACAGCAGCAAUGAUGGAUUUGGAGGACUGAUGUCCUUUGCAAGUAAUCUUUACAAGAACCAUGGCACUAGUUUCAGUCUGUCCCAUCUUGCUCUACCCAACAAAGCUGCAAGAGAGAAAUCAACACCUUUCCCCAGCCUCAAAGAAUAUUUGAGUUUUGAUAUUGAGGAGGAGAAGAACCAAGCAGAUACGCCUGACAGCCCGGCAGGUGCUCGUGCACCUCGGGCACUUGUGGAUCAGAAGUCUUCUGUCAUCAAGCACAGCCCAACAGUGAAGAGGGAAUCACCAUCUCCUCAGGGUGGCAACAACACAAGUGAAAACCAGCAGUUCUUAAAGGAGGUUGUACAGAGUGUUUUAGAUGGACAAGGAGUCGGCUGGCUCAACAUGAAAAAAGUACGCCGCCUGUUGGAGAAUGAGCAGCUCCGCGUCUUUGUGUUAAGUAAACUGAAUAGAGCCACCCAGUCCGAGGAAGAUUCCAGACAGGAGAUCAUACGUGAUGUGGAAAUCAGCAGGAAGGUGUACAAGGGCAUGCUGGACAUCUUGAAGUGUACGGUGUCCAGCUUGGAACAUUCCUACACAAAUGAGGUCGUUGGAGGAAUGGCCAGUGUGUUCAUUGUAUUGGAGAUAGCACGCACACAUUAUCAAACCAAAGACCCGGAAAAGCGCAAGCGAAGCCCCACAGACAGUGCUAGUAGCCCAGGGAGUAAAGAGAGUCCUUCCGGUCGCAUGGAGGCUGCCAAACCUCAAGGUCUUCUCAACGUUCCCCAUCUGCAGCUACCUCAUCACACUACGGGCAGAGGGGCCCGCCAUUUUGAUACCCGGAGUCUGAAUGAAGAAAACUUUAUUGCCUCCAUUGAAUUGUGGAGCAAGCACCAGGAUAAGCAAAAAUCUAUGGAAAAACCACAGAGGGCUGAAGGGGCAAAGCAGCAGCGCCCUCAGGUGACCGAUGCAGAGGAGAAGAAAUCACAGAUCAGUGCUGAUAGUGGUCUCAGUGUCACAUCUGCGUCUCAGAAGAGCGACACAGAGUCCGUAACAAGUUCAGAACCUCCCAUCUUGACGAGAAGUACCAGCCAAGACUCUGAGGCGAGCACGGUGAUAAGCUUCAGCUCUGGAGAGACACUGGGUGCUGACAGUGACUUGAGCAGCACGGCGGGAGAUGGCCUGGGUGGGAGAAGCGCUCUGCAUUUAGCUCAGUCCAGAGGGACCCUCUCUGACAGUGAGAUUGAAACAAACCCUGCCACCAGCUCAGUCUUUGGAAAGACUCAUACACUGAAACCAGGGGCAAAAGAGCACGCAACUGCAACGGCAAAGGGGAUGCCCACUCAACCUAUGGAGGAUAUCAGUAUGAGGAUCUAUCUUUGCGAAGGCCUGCUUGGCCGUGAUAAGAGCUCCGUUUGGGAUCAACUAGAGGAUGCUGCCAUGGAAACCUUUUCGCUAAGUAAAGAGCGCUCAACGCUUUGGGACCAGGUGCAGUUCUGGGAGGAUGUCUUCUUAGAUGGUGUCAUGUUAGAGCGUGAAGGGAUGGGAUUGGACCAGGGACCCCAAGAGAUGAUUGAAAGGUACCUGUCAUUGGGAGAACAUGACCGCAAGCGUCUGGAGGACGAUGAGGACAAACUGCUGACUACCUUGCUGCACAACAUGGUUGCAUACAUGCUCAUGAUGAAAGUGAGCAAAAAUGACAUCAGGAAAAAAGUGAGACGUUUGAUGGGAAAGUCCCACAUUGGCCUCACCUACAGCCAAGAGAUCAAUGAGCUGCUGGACAAAUUGGCCCAAAUGAACGGCCGUGAGCUGUCGAUCAGGGCCUGUGGGAGCCGUCAUAUCAAGAAGCAAACGUUUGUUGUACAUGCUGGUACUGAUACAACCGGCGACCUUUUUUUCAUGGAGGUCUGUGACGACUGCAUAGUCCUGCGUAGCAAUAUUGGCACGGUGUAUGAGCGCUGGUGGUACGAAAAGCUCAUCAACAUGACUUACUGCCCCAAGACCAAGGUUUUAUGUCUCUGGAGACGCAACGGCCAAGAGACACAGCUCAAUAAGUUCUAUACCAAAAAGUGUCGCGAACUCUACUACUGUGUUAAAGAUAGUAUGGAAAGAGCUGCAGCCAGACAGCAAAGCUCAAAACCAGGCCCAGAGUUGGGGGGAGAGUUCCCAGUCCAGGACAUGAAAACUGGCGAGGGAGGAUUGCUGCAAGUCACGCUGGAAGGAAUCAACCUGAAAUUCAUGCACAGUCAGGUUUUCAUAGAGCUGAGUCACAUAAAAAAGUGCAAUACAGUGAAGGGAGUCUUUGUCCUGGAGGAAUUUGUUCCUGAAACUAAAGAAGUGGUGAUCCACAAGUACAAGACCCCCAUGGCACAUCAGAUCUGUUACUCCGUCCUCUGUCUGUUCUCCUACGUGGCAGCUGUGAAGGGGAAGGAGGCAGACGGAAAAGCCAAGAUUCUCUCCCCAAGACCCCUUCCUAGCUAGUGCCCGCCCUCCCUCCCCACCUGCCCCAGUUCUAUGUGCCUCUACCUGAAGCGGCGUCACUCAGCAGACAAAUCCCUUGGCGACCCGGAAGCACACAAACGUACACCACGUUUGGUCCCCCGAACCCCGGGAAAGGGGUCAUCUCUCCAAGCCCCUCGUCGAUUUGUCUUCAGUAACGAUGGAACCGAGUGCAUGCAGGUCCCAUGCACCCCACCCACUCCUGUUACCAUGGUGACGUGCAUACAUUAGUGACAUCACUGGCCGACCCUUUUUGUCCAACUACUGUUCUACUCCUAACCUCGUCUGUGCCCUGCUGUUUAUCACGUCUAGCAUGUUACAUGUGUGUGUGUAUAUAUAUAUAUAUAUAUAUAUAUAUAUAUAUCAUAUUUAUUUACAUUGUUGCUGUAUAUUUCACACUAAAAAUAAUAUAUCAACUAUGGAAUUGCUUAAAGCGCAAUACUGAGUAGUUCGCCAUUCCAGCAGCUUUCCGUCCUAUUUGGCGUUCACAGGGUCUAACAUAAUUUUUUUUUUUUUUCUUUGUAUUGCUCAACGUGAAUUUUAAAUAAUAAUAAUAAGUGUGAUUUCUUCUAAGUGUGAAGACAAUACAAUGUUCCUUCGGUGACGUGUGUGCAUUUCAGGUGAUCGGGAGUUUUUCUGUCUACUGUCCCCAAAGUGUCAUCCCUCAAGUCAAAUAUUGGUCACGUGACAUAAAGUUAAUUGGUUCCUGUAAAAAAUAUUAUUCUUCUGUGGAAAUGUGAACAUGAAUGCCGGAAUCAUCGCCGCUCCAAUUCAGGCUUGUUGUGCUUCGAGUCAUGUUGUCAUCGUGUGUGAGGAGAAACAUGAAAUGCCAAGUGCAGCGACGAUACUCGUUACAAACUGAUUGACAGAAAGCAGCACAGUAAUUUAUGCAUGACCAUGUCAAGGAAGCAAAAAGGCACAGGACUGACAAGCAGACAAUUGUCUUCCAGUCGUUCAUAAGUCACACAAACAUGGCAAAG